UACGGAGGAUCCGAGCGUUAUCUGGAUUUAUUGGGUUUAAAGGGUGCGCAGGCGGGAGAUUAAGUCGGCGGUGAAAUUUUGCAGCUCAACUGUAAAAGUGCCUUCGAAACUGGUUUCCUUGAGUGUAGAUGAAGUAGGCGGAAUUUGUGGUGUAGCGGUGAAAUGCUUAGAUAUCACGAGGAACUCCGAUUGCGCAGGCAGCUUACUAAACUACUACUGACGCUCAGGCACGAAGGCGUGGGGAUCAAACAGGAUUAGAUACCCUGGUA
rnacentral:rRNA from 1 species